ensembl:lncRNA
GGGGUCUCGCCAGGAGCCUGCAAACUUCACAGGAACUUCCUCUCCCCGACCCACUUCGCCUCCAACCUCCGACCACGGCCCCUGUGGGGCUGCCUGACCUCUGACCCCCCUUCGGACCUUGAAGUUCACGUCAUCCUCUCCAAAGGAGCCAUGCCCCGGCCCCCAGACCAUCUCACUGUGGAGCUCCAAGUGCCUGGAGGCUGCUGCUCCCCCCGGCGGGAGCUGAUCGUGGUGCUGAAGAGUGAGUCCACCACCAGCUGGCUGGUCCGAAUCCCCCACAUGGCCGGGCGCCUGCGAGUCCUGGCAUCCCACGAGGUCUCAGUCAGCGGCACAGAAUCAGAACUGGACCUGGCUGUGAGCAGCAGCAUGUCCCUGGGCCUGGCCUAUGCCAGUGACCCCAUGGCCUGGGCAAUGGAGCAGGGAUUGCCUGGGGUCACAUCUUACACAGAGGCCAAGCAGGUGAACAGGUUCCUGGUCAUUGUAGGGCUAGAUGGUAGGUGACUCCUUAGGGGGCAGGGAAUGGGCACAGGGUGCAAUGCCAUGGGAGGGCCACUAGGGAGCCCACCUGACUCAGACUCUGCCCCACUCCCAGUGCAGGGGGAACUGGGAGCUGCAGUUCUGCCCUGUGGCCCCCUCCCCCCAGGCACGGACAGACCCUUGGUGGCCCCCAGUGGUGGGAGAGGUUCAUGCCCCAGACGAUGCCCUCAUGGCUGGCAUGUCUGUCUCUCCCAGGGCACCAUUACAUCUAAAACCCCAGUGCCAUGGGGAAAGGGAGGGGGCGGGGGGAAUAUGGGGACUAGGACACAGAGCUUGGCAGUUCUCAAUCCAGCCAGCAGGGGGCAGACUUGUGCUCUCUCUCGCUCGCUCUCUCUCUCACGUCCCCUUACCCUGUUCACCACCUUGCCCUGCUUCCUCCUUCCUCUCUGCUCCCUCACUCUGUUUUCUCCUGCUAGGGGAAGCCAAGGCCCCCCACCCCUCCAUCCUGCUCCCCAGACCCUCCAAGAUCUCCCCUAUGGUCUGGGAGAGAAGCUGGGCAGCCCCAGGAGAUGGGAGAACUGUGAGGCUGGCGGGAGCUCUGUCUGUGGUGUGUCUGAGCGAGAGGGUGGCUGUUUAUGUCAACAAGGACAUGCUCCAGGCUGCCAGACUCUCCCCAGCCCGAGUGACCCUGCGGGACCCCAGCUGUGCAGCCCAGUCCAAUGGCACCCACUUCCUGCUGGAGUCCUCCCUGGCCGGCUGCGGUGCCCUGCGCAUCCCAGCCCUGGCCCCCACCUCGGGCGUCGGACAGUACCAGAACUCGGUGAGCCAGGGGAUAGGGGGCACAAUGUCGGGCUGAGAGUGAAUGGGAGGGAGGAGAUGUGAAAUGAAAGAGUCUGGGGGGUCUGCAAAGGGGCUAGAAUGUUAGGGGAGUUGAGAGGAGCAGGACAGAGCCAAUGGGGGCUGGAGAACAGGGUGACUCUGGGAGACUGGAACUGGGGAAGAGUGGGAGAAGUGAGGACUGGGAAGGCUGAGGUUAAUGGGAGGACUGGGGAAACUGGAAUUCUGUGGGGCUGGGAGAGUUGGU